UAAGCAUAUCAAUAAGCGGAGGAAAAGAAACCAACCGGGAUUGCCCCAGUAACGGCGAGUGAAGCGGCAAGAGCUCAAAUUUGAAAGCUGGCCCCCCCGGGGUCCGCGUUGUAAUUUGCAGAGGAUGCUUCGGGAGCGGCCCCCGUCUAAGUGCCCUGGAACGGGCCGUCAUAGAGGGUGAGAAUCCCGUCUGGGACGGGGUGCCCGCGCCCGUGUGAAGCUCCUUCGACGAGUCGAGUUGUUUGGGAAUGCAGCUCUAAAUGGGUGGUAAAUUUCAUCUAAAGCUAAAUAUUGGCCGGAGACCGAUAGCGCACAAGUAGAGUGAUCGAAAGAUGAAAAGCACUUUGAAAAGAGAGUUAAACAGCACGUGAAAUUGUUGAAAGGGAAGCGCUUGCGACCAGACUCGCCCGCGGGGUUCAGCCGGCACUCGUGCCCGGUGAACUUCCCCGCGGGCGGGCCAGCGUCGGUUCGGGCGGCCGGUCAAAGGCCCUCGGAAUGUAACGCCCCCCGGGGCGUCUUAUAGCCGAGGGUGCCAUGCGGCCAGCCCGGACCGAGGAACGCGCUCCGGCACGGACGCUGGCGUAAUGGUCGUAAGCGACCCGUCUUGAAACACGGACCAAGGAGUCUAACAUCUACGCGAGUGUUCGGGUGUCAAACCCGUGCGCGCAGUGAAAGCGAACGGAGGUGGGAACCCCCCCGGGGUGCACCAUCGACCGAUCCUGAUGUCUUCGGAUGGAUUUGAGUAGGAGCGUAGCUGUUGGGACCCGAAAGAUGGUGAACUAUGCCUGAAUAGGGCGAAGCCAGAGGAAACUCUGGUGGAGGCUCGCAGCGGUUCUGACGUGCAAAUCGAUCGUCAAAUUUGGGUAUAGGGGCGAAAGACUAAUCGAACCAUCUAGUAGCUGGUUCCUGCCGAA
rnacentral:rRNA from 1 species